rnacentral:rRNA from 1 species
CCUACGGGGGGCAGCAGUGGGGGAUAUUGCACAAUGGGGGAAACCCUGAUGCAGCGACGCCGCGUGUGGGAAGACGGUCCUCUGGAUUGUAAACCACUGUCCCCAGGGACGAAGAUGACGGUACCUGGGGAGGAAGCUCCGGCUAACUACGUGCCAGCAGCCGCGGUAAUACGUAGGGAGCGAGCGUUGUCCGGAAUUACGGGGUGUAAGGGGAGCGUAGGCGGGACUGCAAGUUGGGUGUCAAAUCUACCGGCUCAACCGGUAGCCGCACUCAAAACUGCAGUUCUUGAGUGAAGUAGAGGCAGGCGGAAUUCCUAGUGUAGCGGUGAAAUGCGUAGAUAUUAGGAGGAACACCAGUGGCGAAGGCGGCCUGCUGGGCUUUUACUGACGCUGAGGCUCGAAAGUGUGGGGAGCAAACAGGAUUAGAUACCCCAGUAGUC